GUUUUUCUUCAGUAUUUGUAUUUUGGGAGUAGCAUUUUUUAGUUAUUCAAUCAGAUCACUAGGUUAGCCAUUGGUAACCAUAAUCUUUUUAACUCUGCAUUAAAUUCUAAUGGACCUUGGAAGUUAAAAAGAGGAAUAGAAGGGAUUGUUAUUUUGAUAUAAAUAGUUGUUAAGGAGAGGAAAGAUUAUGGUGAAAUGUUGAACGAUGCUCAUUUUUGAUACUGGGUUCCCCAUAAUUGGUUUGAUUGAGUGAUGUAGGUUAUUGAGUUGUGUAAUUGAAUGAUGAAGUGGGAGAAAAUUGAUAUUCAGUUUGGAACUAGGAAUAUACUUCUUGUCUUUCGCCUUUUACUUUAGGUGAUUCUGUUUUACACCUGCCAGCAUUUUUAAGUACCAUAUUUCUAGAAGAUGAUCUUUUCUUGUGGUAAUGACAUGGCAAUUCUGUUUUAAAAUCUACUUAAUUUUGGAUGGAAACUUUGUUGAGUAUGUCUACUUGUCUAACCUGUUUUGCUUUUGCCCUAUUUAUCAAUUAUUUAUCUGUUUGUCCAUUUAUGUAUUUAUUUUUCAUGAUUUAUUUUUUGAAUGAGACUAUGGUAGCAUUGCUGAAUGAGUUUAGCUUUUUCCCUUUUCAUUUAUUUAUUUUGUUUGUUUAUGUAAUUACUUAAUCAUUUAUAUUUAUGUAUUUGAAUGAGUCCGUGACUUCUUGCUUCAAGUAACUUUAUCUGCUAUUCUGCUUUAACUUGUUUGGCGAGUCAAUAAUAGGCCUUCAUGUCAUUUAGCAACAUUAGUGGAAGUUGUCUUUUAGCUUGGGGUGGGGAGAUGGGCAUCCUUGUAGAUGAGCAAUUUUAGGUUUCAAUAACCAAAUACCUUGUUUUAUAAAUUCUCAAGGUCCAUCUGGUUGGAAAAAUAUUUUUAAUUUUCCAUUUUCCAAUUUAUAUAUUGUUUAAAACAUGAAAAAAAGAGGCUACAUAAGCAGAAACUGGAAAUAUAGUUAUCGAAAACUUUAGUUUUCACCAAUCUAUUUAAGUUUGGAAAAAUGGAGAACAUGGUUUUCUAAGACUGUUCUUUUGGCUUGCAUUUGCUGUCUAAUUCUGAAAAAUUAUGCUUGUAAAAGUGAGUUGUUGAAACAAGGACAAAUAACAUUUUUACGCUUUUUAAAUUUCACUAUUUUUAGUAAAAACAAGUAAAAAUUGUACUUGUAACAAAGUGAGUGAGGCUUCAUUUGUGUAUCCUUUUCCUCUGUGAUUCUUGGUCUAGGCCAUUUGCUGUCUAAUUCUGAAAAAUUAUGCUUGUAAAAGUGAGUUGUUGAAACAAGGAAAAAUAACAUUUUUACGGUUUUUAAAUUUCACUAUUUUUAGUAAAAACAAGUAAAAAUUGUACUUGUAACAAAGUGAGUGAGGCUUCAUUUGUGUAUCCUUUUCCUCUGUGAUUCUUGAUCUAGGCCAUCUAAAUUUUCUGGAGCACUUCACUCAUGCCACCUUUUUUUAGUCCCUCCCAGACUUCAUUCCUCUUACUUGAAUAGUUGAACAUGUUCCAUCCUUUGUGCCAUUGUACAUGCCAUAUUGUUCUAUAUGUAGUAAUGAGGUUUGGGAAGGACUAAGCUUCAUCUUAGUUGAGGGUGGUUUUGGUGUAAUGUUAAAGUUACUCCAUUUGUGAAAUGGAGGGCCAUGGGUUCAAGUUACGGAACAGCUUCUCUGAAAGGUGUAACACUGCUCACGUCAACCUUCCUAGAGCCCACAAGCGUGGAUGCUUUGUGCACUGGAUCACCUUUUCUUUUUUAUUUUUUUUUUUGCGCUUUGUCUCACUUAGGUUGACUGCACCUAGGCUUCAGGAUCCCUUGGCCCCUUAAUGCCCUUGCGCAUGUAAUAAUUACGAUUGUGGCACUAGCUUUCUCACCUUGAGAGCAUUGAAAAUGAAGCAUGUAGGAUGUAAAAUUGAAAUUGUGUGUGGAAAUAGUACGUUUUUGGGUUUGAUGAGCAGAUAAACAUUUUUUAAGUUGUGUUGGAUUUUUCAACUUUUAAGGGUGGUCUGCUGUUCUUUUGCCUGCAUUUAAUUUGUUAGAGAAUUUAACUUACUUGAGACAUCUUUUUUCCCCUUCCUCUAUUCAUCAUUUGGGGUUAGGUGAUCUUCUAUUCAAAGGUGAGGAUCUCUCCCAUUUGUUAAUGGCAGGGGUGAGCAGAAUUGAAUAAACUGAAAAUCAAAAUUUUAGUAUUUGUGAAAACUGAACUGAACUGAUUUUAGGCAAAAAUCGAACCAAAUUGAAUCGGUCUGAUUCGAUUUGGUUUGAUCGGUUAGGCUUUUUAUUUUUUACAUCUUAUUUUUAGUAUUCUAAAAUUUAAUUAAAAUAUUUCAACAUUAAUUAUGAUCUAAUCAGAUAUUAUAAAAAAUAAUAUACUAUUUUCUCUAAUCGGUUUGGUUCUGUUUUUCUGAUCACCAAAACCAAACUGAAAUAAUUGAAAAUUUUGAAACUAAAAACCAAACUGAAUCGAAAUGAAUAAAAAAUUGAAUUGAAUUUUCGAAUUAAUUCGGUUUGGUCGAUUUUUUUCGAUUUGAACCAAAUUCUGCUCACCCCUAGUUAAUGGAUCGAUGGAUAUGAGCACUUGAGUUUGGAACUCCUUGAUUGUAGGUGUUUAACUAGUGGUGAGAGUUUAGAGAGUUUGUGUUGGGUUAUCAUUCUGAGGAUCUUGUCACUGGGCGAUGGAUAAGAUAAUCCUCUAUACUAAUUGACGCCUUCUCAUUAUUGAGUUUUUGCCUCAUGAGGAACCUUGGGUGGAGGAUGACAGGAUUCGUUAAAUAGAAUCCCAAACCUUGGACUUGUUGAUGAGGAGAGAGAGUCAUAAAUCUCUGUAGAGUUGUGUAGAGAAAUUCAGCUUGCCUUAUUUCUGUUGACAAUGCUCUUUAAAUAGAGGUUACAUUGGCCGUAGAAGGAAAAGCAGAGAUUCUGCCAAAAUGCAAGCAUAUCUUAUUACAUAAUUCUUGGCACGAUUAUAUGAUUAAUUGGGGCCAUUAUGCUGAUUUGUUGGGAUUAGAUUGCUGUCAUCUGCAUCAUGGAUAUUGUGCUGAUUUGCUGGAAUCAAAUUGCUUCCAGCUGUGUCCUUGAUUGUUGUCGUCUUACAAUUGUUUCCUUCUUGUUGUUUCUGCUAUGAUUUAUGCCUUCCAUAUGCUCUGCUAAUAAAGGCAUUUGUAACAUUUGCAUCUGUAAUAUUUCUCCCCUUCUGGAGAAAGAGCUUGUCUCUAAGCUCGAAAGCAGGACAGGCUGCUUGAAAUGUAGCAAAUCCUCCCGUAUGGCAUAUGCAGAAUCCAAGCGUUGCCAAUUAGGACUUUGGGUCGUGUUUUGAGAAUUGAAGCAGGGACAUAGAGCACAUGACUGUCAUCUAAAGGAGGCAGAGUGGGUGGAGUGGCAGGGGGAGGCCCUUUAAAAAUGUAAAGCAGCGAAACGUGGAAGAUAUUUUAGAGUUUUCUAUCACUGCUGUCGUAUAAUAGAAAAAGGGUCAUAAUAUUUGGGGGUAAGCUUGUGGCUAAUUUUACCUUCAAGAGAGUGCUAUCGGUAGGGGUGCAAACGUAGCCACACUAGAGAACCAACGUUGAAUUUGAUAUCUCUGAAUUUGAUAUCUCUGUGUCCACGGUCAUAGUAGGCUUUCAUGUGCUGCUGAGCUUGCUGCAAGUUAGCGCGGAUGUCAUGGAGCAUGUCAUCUUGGUUAAGGAAGCCAUGGUCUACAACAUCCACUUUGGAAGAACCAGCAAUAUAGGACAGUAAGCGUGGUGGUCCCGUUCAUAAACAACUUUGAAGGGUGUGGAAUGCAAAGCAGUGUGAAAGGGGAAUCCAAUCUACCAUCGUUUGGGACGUUCACCGAUGCAGCAACGUAGGUACAUUUCGAUGGUGCGAUUGACAACCUCAGUUUGGCCAUCAAUUUGUGGAUGGUAGGCCGAAGAGAAGGAUAAUUUGGUGCCACACAAUCGAAAUAGUUCUUUCCAAAAGCUGCUAGUAAGAAUGGCAUCACAAUCACACACCAUCAAUUUUGGUACCCAUAUAAGCGGACCACUUGCUCGAAGAAGAAUCGUGCAACACUAGUAGCCAUACAAGGUGGGCAAUGGGAAGAAAAUAAGCAUACUUAGAGAAGCGAUCCACCACCACAAACAAAACAGUUUUGCCCCACGAUUUUGGGAGCCCAUCAAUGAAAUCCAUGGAAAUGUCUGUCCAAACUUGGGUCGAAAGUGCAAGAGGCUGAAGUAAUCUAGCUGGUCGCAAGUGUUCAGAUAUAUUACACUGAUAAAUAGGACAAGAAGCAACAUAAUCAGCAAUAGUAGAGUGCAUCCCUUGCCAAUAAAAUUCACUUUGCACACGCUGUAGAGUUUUUUGGUAUCCUUCAUGCAUAUCAUCAUGAAAUCCGGAGAGAAUCGAAGCAAUCAAAGGAGAGGUUGACUGAAGAAAAAUUGUGCCUUUAAAGAAUAGAAUGCCAUUGUGCACAGUCCAAGAAUCAUCCAGCUUGCCUCUAUCCACCCUUUGUUGCAAUUCUCACAACUCAACAGAAUUUAGUAUUUUCGCUCUAAGCUCAUCUAGCAGCAACAGUUGUGGUUGAGUAAUGGCAUAGAGCUGGUUGUCAUAUUCAUUUUGACGAGAUAAGGCAUUUGCAGCUUUAUUCAAAUGUCCUGCCUUGAAUUGUACUUGGAAAUUAAAUCCCAUGAGUUUGCUGAGCCAAUGCAAUUGGGGGGAGGUGGAAAGAUGUUGUUCCAACAGGUAUUUAAGGCUGUGUUGUAAUGAUCGGUCCGGAUGAGGAACGAACAACGCCCCCAAUCAUAAGGACGCUAGUGGUGGAUGACUUUAGCCAACCCGAUUAAUUCACGCACAUAAGUUGGUAAGUUGAAGUGCUGAGCAACUAGUUUUUGGCUGAAAAAUGCAAUUGGGUGGUCUUGUUGUUGAAGGACAGUGUCGAUUGCACUUCUGGAAGCAUCGCAGUCCAUCGCGAAUUCUUCUUCAAAAUUAGGAAGCUGGAGAACCGAUGUAGUGGCAAGAGCAGUGAAAGAAGCCAAGGAAGUAUCAGUCCAAUGUAAAGCAUUUUUUUUAGCAUGUUAGUGAAGGGAGCAACAACUUGACCAUAAUUGAAAAUAAAUUUGCGGUAGCACCUAGUUAAGCCAAGGAAACCUCGCAAUGCUUUAAUGGACUGAGGUUGGGGCCAUUCUAUGAUUGCCUGAAUUUUGCUAGUAUCAAUUGAAACACCUGCAACAGAAAUAAUAUGUCCCAAAUAUGCAACUUCGGAUUCUCCGAAAGAGCACUUGGAUUUUUUUAAGUGGAGGUGACGAGCAUGAAGUAAAUAAAAAACCAUGCGAAUGUGAAGCAAGUGAUCAUCCCAGGUGGAACUAUAAACAAGGACAAAUUGGCGGAGGUGUUUGUGGAAUACCUCAUUCAUGAGCGCCUUAAAGGUGGAAGGCGCAUUGGUCAAUCCGAAAGGCAUGACCAGGAAAACAAAAUGUCCAUGGUGAGUGCGAAAAGCAGUCUUUUCAAUGAUAGCCAGAUCAAAGGUCGAGCUUGGUGAAAAAUUAUGCUCCAUGUAAUUCAUCGAGGAGCUAAUCCACAACAAGUAUAGGGAGCUUAUCUUUAAUGGCAUUAAGCUCUCUAUAGUUAACACAAAAAUGCCAAGAGCCAUCGUGCUUGUGUACUAACAAAACUGGAGAUGAAAGGGGUGACGGACUUGGUCGGAUAAUGCCUUGUUGCAGCAUUUGAUCACUUUGCCUUUCUAUAUCAUCUUUUUCAAGAUGUGGGUAUCGGUAAGGCCUCACCGCCAUUGGACUGGUAUUAGGAUGUAGGCAAAUGCGAUGGUCACAAGUUCGCAAGGGUGGCAAUCUUGUUGGUUCUGCAAAUAAAUCAGUGAAUUCCUCUACUAGGCUGCUAAGUUUGUUAAGCUCGAGAUGGGAUUUCUACAGGGAAAGAAUAUGAUGAGCUGCUGGUGUCGGCUGUCCAUGGAUAGAAAUGGUCUUGACGUUGGUUGUGAAGCUCAUAGUGAGAGAAGUGAAAUCUUAUAGAAUCGGCCCCAAAGUGCGCAACUAUUUAACACCUAACACAAGAUCAAAUCUAGCUAAAGGGAUAACAAAAAAAUCAGCAAUGAAAUUAUGUUGAUUCACAGAGAAGGAUACCGCUGGACAUAUUCCGGAGCUAGAUAAUUUGGUUCCAUUGGCCACAUACACAUUGAUUCCUGUUUGGGGAUGGAUGUGAAGUUGUGGGUGCUUCUCGAAUCCACCAAGCUGAGUAGCGGCUGGCUAUGCAUGAAAAUUUGUAUAGGUUAUCACAAUUGUAGCAGAGAUCCUUUGGUCUCGUUUCUACUCGAGAUAAUCUUUUUUACAAUUGGAGAAGUAAAGGUGCUAGUGCUGGAAGCGGCUGAGCGGUGCCGGUGGCUCCAGGAAUGGUUGUAUGAGUGGGAUUAGUUUUGGAAGGAAAUUCGUUACUUCCCAAUGAGCCCUUGUUACUUCCCAAUGAGCCCUUGUGUUAACAUGUAGGUUGCGGCAAUUGCUGUUUUCUUUCAAAGGCCCCAGCGAAAUUCAUUGCUUGUGCUAAAUUAGAAGGCCUCUGCAUUUUCACAUCAAGUCUAAGGGAGUCGACGAGUCUUGCAGUAAAUCUACUUGUUGAUCCACCUUGACAGAAUUUGCGUGUGCCAACAACCCUUGGAAUCGGUGCUGAUAGUCUUUCACCGUGCCCAGAUUGCUUUAAAUUGACCAAUUCUCCUAAUGGGUUCCCCCUGAGAGGAGGUCCAAAACGUAGAGUGCAUUAGUUCUUGAAAGUGUUCCAAGGCGAAGUGGGCUCCUCUUGCUCCAAUUUGUAAUACCACAUUUGUGCUUUCCCUAACAUGUGGAAUGCUGCUAAGCCAACCUUUUCUGAUUUGGUCGUGUGUUGGUGGAGAAAGAAUUUUUCUCAUCUAUGCAACCAGACUAGAGGGUCUUCGGUGCCAUCAUUGGUGGGGAAAUCGAGUUUUAUACAUCGUGGUACCAUUCUGGUUCUUGUUUCAGUCUUAGUUUCAACCUUGGUUUUAGCCCUGCCUUCUUGAGUUCGUGGAAUAUUAUUAUUGCUUCUCUCUCCUUUUGAUUCUCGUCCUUAGGUCCGCAAAUAGCUGUGAACAGCUUGUGAAACUGUCGUGACAACGGCUACAAUUGUGCUUCUAAUUUUGAUUCUGUCUAUGCUUCUCGAGCCUCCAUUUGUGAUUUUGCCGCGGCUACCCUUGCUUCAGUUGUAGCAUGAGCCUCUUGAAAGAGAGCCCUCAAUUCCUCUCGUGGAUUGGAAUCGCCCAUCGUGUUAGGCUUUGAUACCAAGUUGUUGGGUUCUCGUGCUGAGGAUCUGAUGGACAAGAUAAUCCUCUAUACUGAUUGACAUCUUCCCUUUAUUGUGGUUUCUGCCUCGUGAGGAACCUGUGGUGCAGGAUGACAGGAUUCGUUAAAGGGAAUUCCAAAUCUUAGACUUGUUAAUAAUCAUACGCGUCUGUAGAUUUGUGUAGAGAAAUUCAGCUUACCUUAUUUAUGUUGACAGUGCUCUUUAAAUAGAGGUUACAUUGGCUGUAAAAGGAAGAGCAGAGAUUCUGCCAAGAUGCAAGCAUAUCUCAUUACAUAAUUCUUGGCACGAUUAUCUGAUUAAUUGGGGGCAUUAUGCUGAUUUGUUGGGAUUAGAUUGCUGUCAUCUGCAUCAUGGAAAUUGUGUUGAUUUGUUAGAAUCGGAUUGCUGCCAGCUCUGUCCUUGAUUGUUGCCAUCUUACAAUUGUUUCCUUCUUGUUGUUUCUGCUGUGAUUUGCGCCUUCCGUAUGCUCUGCCAACAAAGGCAUUUGUAACAGUUUGCCAAUUAUCUGCCAAAUUAGUGAGCUGCUAAGAUACAUUUGCUGUUUGCAUGCUGGUUUUAUAGAUUGAAGUGGGCGGUCAAUGGUGAAACCUCUAACUGUCCAUGAAAUAAAGUUUUUAUUUAUUGUUAGGAAUGGGGGAGUAAUGCAUUUUUUGAGCAAUUUAUAUAGAAUAUGUGGCUGAGAAUUUAAUUUUUGGAAGGUCAACAUUGUAACUAGAUGCAGGGUUUUAUGGCUGUUUGUGCAAUUAGAAAAAAUCUCAGCUCUUGGAAUACAAUUCUCCUUGAAAUCUUGAUAAAGAAUGUAAAAAGCAUUCUGAAGAGGCUGGCUAUGACAAAAUUUAUGAAGCUAAAGAGCAGCCUAAGAAAGAGAAGAGCAGCUUAAGUAGAAAAUUAGUUAUUAAAAAGGUGUAGUUUUUAGACAUGACUUAAAUCUUUAGAUAUUCUGAAUGGGUAUCCUGCUUGUAGUUAAGUGCAUCCAAGUGAAAGCUGCCUUUUGGACAUGGGGUAAUUUGAUCUAACCACCUUUUUACCCUUUACUUCUUGCUGCUGCUGUUGUUGUUGCUGUGCGUUGUCUUCUGCUCUAAUCUGUUAAUAAAGGACCUUUUGCAUAUGUUCUAAAUCAACCAUUUGCACUUGCAUUUGCUGUCAUCUCAAACACUCUUUUGAUCAUGGAACAAACAACCUGGUUUCUGAUAAUGUUGCCUUAAAUAACUACUAUAAUUAGACGGGGCUGGUUCCUUCUUAUUUUAUUAUUUUUUGAAUGGCAAUUAUUACUAAUCUUAUCAUUAGUUCAUCGGAGAGAACUUGAAAAAUUGAUGUCAUGGAGUUGAUUAUGUGAGAUUGUCACACCUUAGAAUAAGCGUGGAGAUGAAGAAUUCAGAAGGAUUGAUUAGAUAAACUCCUUGUGAAUUGGUGAUAUCUGUAAGACCUGAAAUAGUGGAAACAAUAAUUUACUGCCUUUUAACAUUUAAUAAUCUUUGAAGCUGCACUAUGCACUGUUUAAUGAAUGCACUGUUUAAUGAAUUUGGUUUCAGUUUUUCGAUUUUCUCUCUCUAUAUUGAACUGAAAGUAAAACACAAGAACAAAAACCAAACUGAAUUUCCUAAUUUAGUCCUUUCGGUAUUUUGUUUCAAAUUGAAUUGUGCUCACCCUUAGGUUUAUUGGCGUAUUGUCAUUGUUGGCCACAUUUCAGUCAAAGUUCCACUGCUAUUUUUUUUUCCUCCUUUUUUCCCCUUUUGAUUUGACGAAGGCUCAAUUAGUAGAAUAACAAACUAAUGCACACAAUAGGAGGUAGCCUUUUCCUUUCUCAUCAUAGAGGAAGUCGAGACAUCAUACUCAAUGCCCUUGAAUAAGACAACAGCGGAUAAGAAAUCAGGAGACAGAAAAGAUAUAUUUUACCUUAUUCUCAUAUCCAUAAGGACCAAAAUGUGGAAUAGAAACAAGAAACCAUAUACAUUUUUCAAUCUCCACUUCCUCUAUUCCUGAUAACUAAUAAGGCAAAUGUUUCAGCUAAAAGGCAGGAGUAACUCGUUCUUAUUUUCUGUAGGGAGAAAUAACAAAAAAUGAAUUUGGAGAAAUCAACAGUUCUAUAGAUGUAUUAGUUUUUACACUGCAAAUCUGCAAUACCUAUCAGAUGCUGGAGAUAUCAUGAUUUCUUUGGCAAGCAUGUAUUAAAUUUAGAGAUUGCAUGUAGGGCUGUGCAAUCGGUAGGUUCGGUUCCGAACCGAACUCAGAAAAACUGAAAUCAUAAAAAAGAUCAACUGAACUGAAACUGAAAUGAGAGAAUAACCGAAUUGAACCAAACCAAUUUGGUUUGGUUAUUAACAUUGGUUUUAAGACGGAGAUAUUAGAAAUUUUCCUCAAAUUUAUACUCCAAAUUCUCCCAAAACAGGUGCAGUACCUCCCUUCGUUUGAAUAUGAAUCAAUUUCAGAUCUCACAUCAACAAAUUUCUCAAAGAAAAGAAAUACCCAAGAAUCAAGAUGCUAAAUACCCACAAACAAUAUUUUAUAAAUGAAUUCAAACAAAGAUUUCCAUCAAAAUACACUCAAAAUAUAGCAAAACUAUCAAAAGCAAAAGACCCACUAUAAAUACAAUCAAAAUUACCCUUGCACACAAAGAAAUCAACAUGCAACCGCCAAUCAAAAUUCGAGCACAAGGAGAGUUCGAGCCCCAAACAUGCAGGGCAAAAGAGAGGAAAGGAGUUGCAGCCGAACUUGUGUCUCCACGCCGUCGAUCUAGGUCUCAUCUUCAAGGGAUGUGAUUGAAAGGAGAAUCAACAAAGCAAACUUGUGUGGGAGGCGAGGACACUAUUUUAUGCAGUAGAUGGCCUAGAUCUAAAAAAGAAG